rnacentral:rRNA from 1 species
AUUGAACGCUGGCGGCAGGCCUAACACAUGCAAGUCGAGCGGAUGAAGGGAGCUUGCUCCUGGAUUCAGCGGCGGACGGGUGAGUAAUGCCUAGGAAUCUGCCUGGUAGUGGGGGAUAACGUCCGGAAACGGGCGCUAAUACCGCAUACGUCCUGAGGGAGAAAGUGGGGGAUCUUCGGACCUCACGCUAUCAGAUGAGCCUAGGUCGGAUUAGCUAGUUGGUGGGGUAAAGGCCUACCAAGGCGACGAUCCGUAACUGGUCUGAGAGGAUGAUCAGUCACACUGGAACUGGGAGACGGUCCAGACUCGUACGGGAGGCAGCAGUGGGGAAUAUUGGACAAUGGGCGAAAGCCUGAUCCAGCCAUGCCGCUUGUGUGAAGAAGGUCUUCGGAUUGUAAAGCACUUUAAGUUGGGAGGAAGGGCAGUAAGUUAAUACCUUGCUGUUUUGCCGUUACCAACAGAAUAAGCACCGGCUAACUUCGUG